AGUACGGCGAGUGAAGCGGCAAAAGCUCAAAUUUGAAAUCUGGUACCUUCGGUGCCCGAGUUGUAAUUUGGAGAGGGCAACUUUGGGGCCGUUCCUUGUCUAUGUUCCUUGGAACAGGACGUCAUAGAGGGUGAGAAUCCCGUGUGGCGAGGAGUGCGGUUCUUUGUAAAGUGCCUUCGAAGAGUCGAGUUGUUUGGGAAUGCAGCUCUAAGUGGGUGGUAAAUUCCAUCUAAAGCUAAAUAUUGGCGAGAGACCGAUAGCGAACAAGUACAGUGAUGGAAAGAUGAAAAGAACUUUGAAAAGAGAGUGAAAAAGUACGUGAAAUUGUUGAAAGGGAAGGGCAUUUGAUCAGACAUGGUGUUUUGUGCCCUCUGCUCCUUGUGGGUAGGGGAAUCUCGCAUUUCACUGGGCCAGCAUCAGUUUUGGUGGCAGGAUAAAUCCAUAGGAAUGUAGCUUGCCUCGGUAAGUAUUAUAGCCUGUGGGAAUACUGCCAGCUGGGACUGAGGACUGCGACGUAAGUCAAGGAUGCUGGCAUAAUGGUUAUAUGCCGCCCGUCU
rnacentral:rRNA from 1 species